rnacentral:rRNA from 1 species
GAGUUUGAUCUUGGCUCAGAUUGAACGCUGGCGGCAGGCCUAACACAUGCAAGUCGAGCGGUAGAGAGAAGCUUGCUUCUCUUGAGAGCGGCGGACGGGUGAGUAAUGCCUAGGAAUCUGCCUGGUAGUGGGGGAUAACGCUCGGAAACGGACGCUAAUACCGCAUACGUCCUACGGGAGAAAGCAGGGGACCUUCGGGCCUUGCGCUAUCAGAUGAGCCUAGGUCGGAUUAGCUAGUUGGUGAGGUAAUGGCCCACCAAGGCGACGAUCCGUAACUGGUCUGAGAGGAUGAUCAGUCACACUGGAACUGAGACACGGUCAAGACUCCUACGGGAGGCAACAGUGGGGAAUAUUGGACAAUGGGCGAAAGCCUGAUCCAGCCAUGCCGCGUGUGUGAAGAAGGUCUUCGGAUUGUAAAGCACUUUAAGUUGGGAGGAAGGGCAGUAAAUUAAUACUUUGCUGUUUUGACGUUACCGACAGAAUAAGCACCGGCUAACUCUGUGCCAGCCGCCGCCGU